rnacentral:rRNA from 1 species
UAGGGAAUCUUCGGCAAUGGGGGGAACCCUGACCGAGCAACGCCGCGUGAGUGAAGAAGGUUUUCGGAUCGUAAAGCUCUGUUGUUAAGGAAGAACGAGUGUGAGAAUGGAAAGUUCAUACUGUGACGGUGCUUAACCAGAAAGGGACGGCUAACUACGUGCCAGCAGCCGCGGUAAUACGUAGGUCCCGAGCGUUGUCCGGAUUUAUUGGGCGUAAAGCGAGCGCAGGCGGUUAGAUAAGUCUGAAGUUAAAGGCAGUGGCUCAACCAUUGUAGGCUUUGGAAACUGUUUAACUUGAGUGCAGAAGGGGAGAGUGGAAUUCCAUGUGUAGCGGUGAAAUGCGUAGAUAUAUGGAGGAACACCGGUGGCGAAAGCGGCUCUCUGGUCUGUAACUGACGCUGAGGCUCGAAAGCGUGGGGAGCGAACAGGAUUAGAUACCCUGGUAGUCCACGCCGUAACGAUGAGUGCUAGGUGUUAGGUCCUUUCCGGGACUUAGUGCCGCAGCUAACGCAUUAAGCACUCCGCCUGGGGAGUACGACCGCAAGGUUG